CAAAAAGUAGCUUAAAAUAAAGCACUCGGCUUACAACCGAGACAUAUUAGCUCACUAAUCUUUUUGA
rnacentral:tRNA from 1 species